rnacentral:lncRNA from 1 species
AAAGGGGGGGGGCAUCUGAAAUGAACAGACAUUUCUCAGACAAAGAAGUAAAAGCAGCAAAUAAACAUAUGAAAAAAUGUUCAACAUCACUGGUCAUUGGAGAGAUGCAGAUGAAAACAAUGCUGAGAUUCCACCUCACCCCAGAAAGAAUGGCUGCUGUCAAAGAAAUCAACCAAUAACAAAUGCUGUCGGGGGUGUGUGGAGAAAGGAACCCUUCUCCAUUGUUGGUGGGAGUGCAGACUGGUGCAACCACCGUGGAAAUCAGUAUGGACAUACCUCAAACAAUUAGCAUUAGAGGUUCCAUUUGACCCAGCCAUCCCCUGCUGGGUAUCUUCCCCAAAAGAAUUAAAAGAAUCAGUACCACAGCGAUAUAUGUGCACCCAUGUUUAUAGCAGCACAGUUUGUAACAGCUAAAGCUUGGAAACAGCCCAAGUGCUCAUCAACAGGAGGCUGGAUAGAGAAGAUGUGGUUUUUUCUAUAAAAUGGAGUACUACUCAGUCAUAAAGAAUGAGAAACUAGAGACAUUUACAGCUAAAUGGAUGCACAUUGAGGCAACACUCUUAAGUGAAAUAAAUAGGACACACGUGUAAAUACUGAAUAGUUUCUCUAGUGUGAGAAACUGAAAGUGUAAAUAAGGACUAAAAGAAGUGGACAGAAGACCAAAGAAGUCUAACACCAGGCGUUCCCAGCCCCAUCCUUGCUCUGGGAUGCUCAGGGGCUCGUCAGGCAGGUGCCAACGAGGCACAGACCCUACUGCGGGCCACCAACCGGGGCCCCUGCAAAGGUUAGUUCACCGCGUUUUCUUUAUGCUCAUGAAGAUGCCCCAUCCCACUUCCUAAUGUACCUUACACACAGUCGCGCUCACUAAGAGCACCCUCGGGCACGGGGAUUUAGCUCAGAGGUCCCGCCGCCUGCCUAGCAAGCUCAAGGUCCCUAGCUAGAUCCCCGGUACCAAAAAAAGAGCACCCUCCCCCGCUUCGGGUCUUUGCCAGGGACUGUUCGCACCCAGGGGCCACUAGGUGGAGCCAGAGGCUCGAUGGUGGACGCCAAGGGCGCCGCUGGCCAGGGCCCCUCCGCUCCUGGCCCAGCCACGACCCCCGAGCCCAGCCCACAGACUUCUGCGCUGUCCGAGGAGAUCUCACGAGAGAUGACAAGAGAGGAUCAGUGGGUCUCAACGUCCAAAGAGGAUGGCAGG